UAUCAGUGGAGACUAGAACCCACUUUAAAAAACGGGGUGUGUCCUGCUUAGCCUAAUGAGUAGGGAAACA
rfam:OM182 bacterium BACL3 MAG-120619-bin32 contig11927_1_120619-bin32, whole genome shotgun sequence.